CUUUACUCUUUGGAAAUUGGAACUCGUCAAAUUAGCGCCUGCAGCUGGAGGGUAAGAAAAGGAAGUAAAGAAAUAUCUUCCGGUUUGCUCUGCGUGGGUGGGAAAGUUGAGGAUUAGGGUUUUCAUCCGACGCCAACUGCAGAGUCAGAGACAGGAAGAAGCCAAGACAAGAUGAUUGAAGUUGUAUUGAACGAUCGUUUGGGUAAGAAAGUGAGGGUGAAGUGCAACGAGGAUGACACGAUCGGCGAUCUCAAGAAGCUCGUCGCUGCGCAGACGGGGACAAGAGCCGAGAAGAUACGGAUUCAGAAAUGGUACACCAUCUACAAGGAUCACAUCACCCUCAAGGACUACGAGAUCCACGACGGAAUGGGUCUCGAACUCUAUUAUAGCUAGGAUUUAUUUAAUGCACAAGGCUCAAGCUCUUGGUAUGAACCUGAUGUAAUGCUGUUAAACUGCAGUUAUACAGGAGAUGAUGCACUAGGUGAUGGAAAACAAGUGUAAGCACUGUUGAUAUCUAAUUGUCCCAUGUAUAAACUGAUACAAGUGGAUACUUGGUUCAAUAUGUAAGGACUAUUUUCCAUUUAUGGACUCCGAAUAUCUAUGCACGAUAUAAAGAUCUGGUUUAAGCUGUGACA